rnacentral:snoRNA from 1 species
CACCUCCAGAUCCCUUACCCCUUGGAUCUAAAUACUGGGCCUAAGUGACUUCAAAAAAGGAGGAACAGGAAACUGGAGUGGACUUGGAGUCUUUAAAGACAUGAAAUUUCAGUUCAAAUAUUG